rnacentral:rRNA from 1 species
UACGGAGGGUGCGAGCGUUGUCCGGAAUCACUGGGCGUAAAGGGCGCGUAGGUGGCUCGUGAAGCGUGCGGUGAAAGCCCGGAGCUCAACUCCGGGUCUGCCGCGGAUACUGCGAGGCUUGAGUGCUGUAGAGGGGGGUAGAAUGCCGGGUGUAGCGGUGGAAUGCGUAGAGAUCCGGCAGAAGACCGGUGGCGAAGGCGGCCCCCUGGGCAGUAACUGACACUGAGGCGCGACAGCGUGGGGAGCAAACAGG